UCUUCAAUAGCUCAGUGGUAGAGCGAAUGGCUGUUAACCAUUCGGUCGUUGGUUCGAAUCCAACUUGAGGAG
rnacentral:tRNA from 1 species